rnacentral:rRNA from 1 species
UUGAAAGGGAAACGAUUGAAGUCAGUCGUACUAACGGGGGAAUCAACCUUUUUGAGGGUGGAAUUGUGGGAUUCGAAGUGCCUUUGUUUUUUCACAACCUGCCUUUUUUUGGGUGUACUUUCUCGUAUUGUAGGUCAACGUCGGUUUCGACCGUUAUAAAAUGACUGGAGGAAUGUAGCUUCGAUCUCGUAUUGAAGUGUUAUAGCCUUUGGUAGAUGUAACGGAUGGGAUCGAGGAUUGCAAUGAAUACCCUCAUGGGCUAUCCACCUGGGCCUCUGACAUGGUCACUCUGGGUGCUGAAAGCUUGCUUAUGGUAUUAUAGUGUACGGUCAAAAGGUUAGAACGGAUUAAAAUUCGUUAAGGAUGUUGACGUAAGUC